CUCCCGGAGCACCUCGAGGGUCGCCAAAUCCGACGAGGAUCCUUCACUCGCCGGGGACCACCAGUACACAUGCGGAGGAGCCGUUGACCUUCAGCUGGAGGAGGCAACGACCUGCAGCUGGUCUCCGUGAAGACUUCUCCCGCGCCAGACCGCUGAUCCCUCCAGCGUCGUCUCCUCUGCCCGAGCUCUCAGUGACGCCGAGGGUUGGCCCAGCGGCCGCGACGGCGUACAGUCAGUGGAUUCAGGGUCGGGAUCCUCCUCCCCGCUGCUUCCCUGGGUAGCCCAUGGAGACCACCUCCUCUGCCCUCCUCCAGCGAGAUCGGUCAUCUUUGGGCUCUGGCUUCUGGCACACAACGGGGACAAUGAUGGUGAUGCCAAAGGAUGGAACACGGACGUUCGACUAUAUUGCUAGAGGAAGAAACGAAGAGCAGGUGAUGUGAAUUAUGCAGUUCUGCAAAAACAAAAUCUUGUUGCCUGACCAAACUGCUUCUAAGUACUAUGUCGGCAAGAGCAGGAGAAUUCUAUGUUGCAAAAAGAAUUCCAUGUAGCUCCCUGGAAUCACAUUUGUCUUUUCGCUUGAACCAAAUUUCAUCCCGUGUGAGAUUCUACUUGAUGGAG